GCUGCAGGGUAAAUUCUUGAUCUUGAUCAUCCUUCUGUGAAGAUGGGGACAGCCAGAUCAUACUCAUCUACGUUUGCACUGUGCGUGUUUUAUGAUAAUACAUGUCAUUCUUUACCUGGCUCUUCUACCAGAAGGAAGUUCCAAACUCUGAAGUGAACCUCUCCCAGCCCUGUCUAGGGGUCGUUUGCUAGGCCCUCCUGAUUCUUCACAAUGGUCUCCUAAAACAGAGAGGCCCAGGCUGGACCAGUGUUGACAACAGCGGUGAGGUCACUUUUGUUCCCCUGCAUUCCAGGCUCCAGCAAGAAGAUCCAGUUACGUUGUUCUUGUUUUGUUUUGAAUAACAGAACUCUGCAACACACUUUUCUCAGCAUCUAUGAUUGUUCAAUUCUUUUUCUGAUUUUUUUUUGUGCCCUCCCCAGUCUCCCUUCGGGCUCAUCUUUGUGGGUUGUUUCCCUCUGGCCCGCAGCGUUGCCCACGGUGAAGACCUGGUUGAACCAAGAAAUCUCUGUGGGUUGUUUGUUUCCCUCUGGCCCGCAGCGUUGCCCAUGGUGAAGACCUGGUUGAACCAAGAAGCCGUGGAAUCAUUAGGAUAUCAGAGUGCAGACCUGCCUGCUCCCCCACACUCAGGCUUCCCACAGGCUCCCUGGAUGGGCAGCCCCUGCUGGAAUUCCUCCAGAGCCUGAAACGUUGGCCACAUUACAAAGCCGCGUUCUCCAUCGCUGGGCACCUCUGCUCGUCCGACCGCCAUCUGCUCCCUGUACCUUCUCCCCAUUCGUUCUAGAUCCACUCACAGCUCCUCCCGACAAACCACCAGACUUGCUGUAGCUACUAGGAGUCCCCAGAGGACAGAAGUGACCGGCAGCACGUACUCCCUGGCAUCGAGGCACCUGAGACGGGAAGGACAUUCGGCUCAAGCCCCUUCCUUCCCUUGGACGAGGACACGGGCCCCCCCAGUCACCUGUCCACAGCCACACCAGCUUCCCAGCAGCCCCACAAGGCCCGCCACAGCCUCUCCUCUUCCAGAAAAUUCACAUUUUAAUUUGCAGCCAUGAGAAUAAGGAUAGAAUUUCUGGGAGCGUCUCAGUCUCUAAGGGAGAGGGUCCCUCUGCCUGGGUACCUCACCCUAGGAACUAGAGGUAGUAAUGUAGGGACUGUUAUUACAGGAACGAGGCUGUGCUCAGCAAAUGCUUUUACUUCAACUUUCAGGACACCAAGAAAAUGUGAGAGUAUAAUUUUCCAGGCUUGCGAUGGACUGUAUUGAUCCUCUCCAACAGAUUAAAAAAGAAAUUGUUUCUCUUCAGUUGAAUAUCAGUUUUUCUUGAAGCUAUUAACUGCCCAUGGCCUGAAUUUGAACUUUCUGUUUUUGAUAAGUGUGAAUGCUGCCAGUGAAUAAAUGAGAUUCUCUGUGCUGUGCCCUCCUCUGCCCAAAUAUGGCUUUGCAGGAGCCAAACAUCGGGAGCUUUCAAACAUCUGUCCUUGAAAACGCAGCACUGUGAAACCCAGAGAGAGGCUGGGCUGGUU
rnacentral:lncRNA from 10 species